UCCCUGGUAGCUAAGACAGUAAAGUGUCUGCCUACAAUGCAGGAGACCCAGGUUUGAUCCCUGGGAAGGGAA
rnacentral:tRNA from 1 species